UACGUAGGGUGCAGGCGUUAAUCGGAAUUACUGGGCGUAAAGCGUGCGCAGGCGGUUUGCUAAGACAGGUGUGAAAUCCCCGGGCUUAACCUGGGAACUGCGCUUGUUACUGGCAAGCUUGAGUGUGGCAGAGGGGGGGUGGAAUUCCACGUGUAGCAGUGAAAUGCGUAGAGAUGUGGAGGAACACCGAUGGCGAAGGCAGCCCCCCUGGGCUAACACUGACGCCUCAUGCACGAAGCG
rnacentral:rRNA from 1 species